UACAGAGGGUGCGAGCGUUAAUCGGAAUUACUGGGCGUAAAGCGCGCGUAGGCGGCUUUGCAAGUCGGGUGUGAAAUCCCCAGGCUUAACCUGGGAACUGCAUUCGAGACUGCGGUGCUUGAGGACUGGAGAGGAGACUGGAAUUCAUGGUGUAGCAGUGAAAUGCGUAGAGAUCAUGAGGAAGACCAGUGGCGAAGGCGGGUCUCUGGACAGUUCCUGACGCUGAGGCACGAAGGCCAGGGGAGCAAACGGG
rnacentral:rRNA from 1 species